CGCCUCUCAGGAUCGCACCUGGAGAGUUUCCAGCACUCUACCAGUCUUGGCUGAGGGAGGGAGAGUCAAGCAGAGGCAUACCCACUCCAUUCCUAGCUUGGGCAGCAGACAGUGAGUGGAAGACAAUCUGCCACAAGC